CAUAUCAAUAAGCGGAGGAAAAGAAACCAACCGGGAUUGCCUCAGUAACGGCGAGUGAAGCGGCAAGAGCUCAAAUUUGAAAGCUGGCUCCUUCGGGGUCCGCAUUGUAAUUUGCAGAGGAUGCUUCGGGUGCGGCCCCUGUCUAAGUGCCCUGGAACGGGCCGUCAGAGAGGGUGAGAAUCCCGUCUGGGAUGGGGUGUCCGCGCCCGUGUGAAGCUCCUUCGACGAGUCGAGUUGUUUGGGAAUGCAGCUCUAAAUGGGUGGUAAAUUUCAUCUAAAGCUAAAUACUGGCCGGAGACCGAUAGCGCACAAGUAGAGUGAUCGAAAGAUGAAAAGCACUUUGAAAAGAGAGUUAAAAAGCACGUGAAAUUGUUGAAAGGGAAGCGCUUGCGACCAGACUCGCCUCCAGGGUUCAGCCGGCAUUCGUGCCGGUGUACUUCCCUGGGGGCGGGCCAGCGUCGGUUUGGGCGGCCGGUCAAAGGCUCCCGGAAUGUAGUGCCCUCCGGGGCACCUUAUAGCCGGGAGUGCAAUGCGGCCAGCCUGGACCGAGGAACGCGCUUCGGCACGGACGCUGGCAUAAUGGUCGUAAACGACCCGUCUUGAAACACGGACC
rnacentral:rRNA from 1 species